GCCUAUCAUUUGGGCCCAAAUUUGAAGUAGAGUAGAUUUGUAGGAUCAGUUGACCCUACUGAACCGCUCUACUUCGAGUUUGUGCCCCGAAAAUUGGCGUCAUAGGCGUA
rnacentral:pre_miRNA from 1 species